rnacentral:misc_RNA from 1 species
GAUGAAGAACGUAGCGAAAUGCGAUAAGUAGUGUGAAUUGCAGAAUUCAGUGAAUCAUCGAAUCUUUGAACGCACAUUGCGCCCUUUGGCAUUCCUUAGGGCAUGCCUGUUCGAGCGUCAUUUAACCCCUCAAGCUCAGCUUGGUGUUGGGCGUCCUGUCCCUCUGCCCCCCUCGCGGCGGCGGGGACUCGCCUUAAAGUAAUUGGCAGCCAGUGUUUUGGUUUUGAAGCGCAGCACAAGUCGCGAUUCAAAGCUAUACGCCCGCUUCCACAAGCCUUUUUCACUUUUGACCUCGGAUCAGGUAGGGAUACCCGCUGAACUUAAGCAUAUCAAUAAGCGGAGGA